rnacentral:tRNA from 1 species
GCGCCGAUAGCUCAGCGGUAGAGCACCGACCUUAUAAGUCGGGGGUCGCUGGUUCGAAUCCAGCUCGGCGCACGA